GACCAGGUUCGGAUUUAAGCUGCCCAAUGAGCAGCUGCAAACUUUGUAGAGUGUGUGGAGCAACAGUUCCGGCUACGAGAGGUCGUGUCAUCAACAUUUUUCUUCUUCCUCUAUGGUGUUUAA